rnacentral:rRNA from 1 species
CCGGCACGGGUGAGUAACACGUAUCCAACCUGCCGUCUACUCUUGGACAGCCUUCUGAAAGGAAGAUUAAUACAAGAUGGCAUCAUGAGUUCACAUGUUCACAUGAUUAAAGGUGUUCCGGUAGACGAUGGGGAUGCGUUCCAUUAGAUAGUAGGCGGGGUAACGGCCCACCUAGUCUUCGAUGGAUAGGGGUUCUGAGAGGAAGGUCCCCCACAUUGGAACUGAGACACGGUCCAA